rnacentral:tRNA from 1 species
AGAUUUAUAAGUUAUUUAAACUGUGGACCUUCAAAGUCCAAAAUAGAAAUAUUUAUCUUAAAUUUG